CCUGAACGCUGGCGGCGUGGCUAAGACAUGCAAGUCGCACGGGACCCGCAAGGGUUCAGUGGCGAACGGGUGAGUAAUGAAUCGCUAAUGUACCCCGGACUCUGAGAUAGCUGCCCGAAAGGGCAGGUAAUAUCAGAUGAUAUAACCGAACCGCAUGGUUUGGUUCUCAAAGGUCCGCCGGUCUGGGAGCAGGCGAUUUCGUAUCAGCUAGUUGGUGAGGUAACGGCUCACCAAGGCGACGACGCGUAGCCGGACUGAGAGGUUGGCCGGCCACAUUGGGACUGAGACACUGCCCAGACUCCUACGGGGGCUGCAUAACGAAUCUUCCGCAAUGCACGAAAGUGUGACGGAGCGACGCCGCGUGUAGGACGAA
rnacentral:rRNA from 1 species